rnacentral:rRNA from 1 species
CUAACGACAUGGGCUAUUUGGAAGCACCAGAAUGCCGUGAUCUUCGACAGUGCUUGACCCUCCUCCACCCAGUUCUCCAAUACCAUCAAGUAGGAGGCGCAGCUAUGGGCAAGAGCCGGCGCCAAAGGCUUAGAUAGACUAUUGCAUGUAACCUGA